GUAGUCUCGCACAGAUGCAUAUCAAUAAGCGGAGGAAAAGAAACUAACAAGGAUUCCCCUAGUAACGGCGAGUGAAGCGGGAAGAGCUCAAAUUUGAAAUCUUAAAGGGUUUCCCUUUACGAAUUGUAGUUUAAAGAAGUGUUUUCUGUUGAGGUUUUGGUAAAAGUUCUUUGGAAUAGGACAUCAUAGAGGGUGAGAAUCCCGUAUUUGACCUUUACUUUCAACUUUGUGAUACACUUUCAAAGAGUCGGAUUGUUUGGGAAUGCAGUCCAAAAUGAGUGGUAAAUUUCAUCUAAAGCUAAAUAUUGGCGAGAGACCGAUAGCGAACAAGUACCGUGAGGGAAAGAUGAAAAGAACUUUGAAAAGAGAGUUAAACAGUACGUGAAAUUGUCAAAAGGGAAGCGUUUGACACCAGUGUUGUUUUUCUGAAAAUCAAUUAAAGAACUGUUUAUGCUAAGCUGUUUAGACUUUAUCAGCUAUACUGUUUAGUUUUGAGCUUUUCUUUAAUGCACUUUUCAGUUAACAAGUCGAACAUCAAUUUCUUUUGCUGUAAUAAAGCUUGAGGAAGGUGGCUUGAGAUUCGUCUUAAGUGUUUAUAGCCUCUUGCCUAUGCAGUCGGAGAGAUUGAGGUCUGCAGCGUAGAUCCUUCGGGGCUAAAUGCAUUUGUGCUAAGUUAUAGCAUUUUAUAGACAACUUGUUGACUAUGAUUUGUCUUGUAGCUUACUCGCUUAUGUUAUUUUACCUACGCUUAGGAUGUUGAUCUGUAGUGCGUGCG
rnacentral:rRNA from 1 species